AAAGAAGAAUAAUGUCCACAUCCUCUCAAAAGCCAUCAAGCCUCCCAAAGCCUCCAAGUUACAAACCACCUCCUGACAUCACAGCUCACUCACCUGAGGAAGAAGAGCCAUCCCUGCCAAAUCUUUCAGCUAAUAAUACUUUUCAUGAUACAGUUUUUGAGCCUGAUGGGAGGUAGCAACAUUGGAGACGCUGUGAGGAGAAUCCUUCGGAAAAUAGCCACCAUUGAGGCCUGGUCAAAUUACAGCCUUAAAGGCCGAAAAGGAAAACUGAACUUCAUUGGGACAGCCUUCCACCAUAUUGUUUUAAGUAUGCUUUUUAAAACUUCUCUCUUCUUUUCACUUCAUCAUGCAACUUUUUAAAGAGCAAAUGAUAAACAGAAACAUGUCUGUACUGUCCCUGUACCUUCGAAUAAUUUGUUUUCUCGUUUUUGACUUCUAAACGAAAAUAAAAACCAAGUAUAAA